AUUGAACGCUGGCGGCAUGCCUUACACAUGCAAGUCGAACGGUAACGGGCCUUCGGGUGCCGACGAGUGGCGAACGGGUGAGUAAUGUAUCGGAACGUACCUUUCAGUGGGGGAUAACGUAGCGAAAGUUACGCUAAUACCGCAUAUUCUGUGAGCAGGAAAGCAGGGGAUCGCAAGACCUUGCGCUGAUUGAGCGGCCGAUAUCAGAUUAGCUAGUUGGUGAGGUAAAAGCUCACCAAGGCGACGAUCUGUAGCGGGUCUGAGAGGAUGAUCCGCCACACUGGAAAUGAGACACGGUGCAGACUCCUACGGGAGGCAGCAGUGGGGAAUUUUGGACAAUGGGGGCAACCCUGAUCCAGCCAUGCCGCGUGAGUGAAGAAGGCCUUCGGGUUGUAAAGCUCUUUCGGCCGGGAAGAAAUCGUAUCAGCUAAUACCUGGUGCGGAUGACGGUACCGGCAUAAGAAGCACCGGCUAACUACGUGCCAGCCGCCGCCGUAAGAC
rnacentral:rRNA from 1 species